AGCUCCAAUAGCGUAUAUUAAAGUUGUUGUGGUUAAAAAGCUCGUAGUUGGAUCUCAACAGCGUGGUGGCGGUCGGCAUGCUUGCCGUUACUGCUGUCUUGCGCUGUGCUUUUUGCUGGAGGGUGGCAGGUGCUCUUAAUCGGGUGUCUGUUGUCGCCAGCAGGUUUACUUUGAAAAAAUUAGAGUGCUCAAAGCAGGCUGUUACGCCUGAAUAUUCGUGCAUGGAAUAAUAGAAUAGGACGUCGAUCCUAUUUUGUUGGUUUUCGGGACUCGACGUAAUGAUUAAUAGGGACAGUCGGGGGCAUUUGUAUUCAAACGACAGAGGUGAAAUUCUUGGACCGUUUGAAGACAAACUACUGCGAAAGCAUUUGCCAAGAAUGUUUUCA
rnacentral:rRNA from 1 species